AAGUAAAAUCAUUUACUUCUCUUAUUUGUAAUUGAUCUAAAAAAAGUGUUCAAAGCAACAAUGCUAACAAUGCAUUCGGUGAUUAUAACAUAUAGAUAAGAGAAGUGAAUGACAACAAUGUCACAAGGGGCCAUAGAGAGAAAUUGAGAAUAGUCUUUAUGAGACACCUAUACUAAUCAUUAGUGGUGGUGUGAUUUGAAAGUAAGUAG
rnacentral:lncRNA from 10 species